rnacentral:rRNA from 1 species
UACGGGGGGAGCUAGCGUUGUUCGGAAUUACUGGGCGUAAAGCGCACGUAGGCGGCUUUGUAAGUUAGAGGUGAAAGCCCGGAGCUCAACUCCGGAAUUGCCUUUAAGACUGCAUCGCUUGAAUCCGGGAGAGGUGAGUGGAAUUCCGAGUGUAGAGGUGAAAUUCGUAGAUAUUCGGAAGAACACCAGUGGCGAAGGCGGCUCACUGGACCGGUAUUGACGCUGAGGUGCGAAAGCGUGGGGAGCAAACAGG